UACGGAGGGUGCGAGCGUUGUCCGGAAUCACUGGGCGUAAAGGGCGCGUAGGCGGCCUGAUAAGUAGGGGGUGAAAUCCUGAGGCUUAACCUCAGGGCUGCCUUCUAAACUGUCGGGCUCGAGCACAGUAGAGGCAGGUGGAAUUCCCGGUGUAGCGGUGGAAUGCGUAGAGAUCGGGAAGAACAUCAGUGGCGAAGGCGGCCUGCUGGGCUGUUGCUGACGCUGAGGCGCGACAGCGUGGGGAGCAACAGGA
rnacentral:rRNA from 1 species